UGUGUUUUAGGUGUCAAAAGAGGUCCUAUUGUGUGAUUGUCCUGCCUGUGGUGUGGAGUUGUAGGAGCAGUGGGGAGAGUAGCUGCUUCAUGUGAGUAGUGUGGGCUUGUGGGCCUCAGCAGCAGUGGAACUUGCUGGGGCUAGUCACAAGGAGGGCUUGUGGUCCCCCGGAGGUGCCUCCUCGUGUCGUCCCCCCCACACACACACCCCUAGACCUUCAUCGUGGGGAUGUAACACUAAUGUUGCUGUCAUUUGGCAUUGCAACGUCUAUCACUACGACAGUAGUGAUACUAGUGAGUCCUGGAGAGUCCUCUUCACACACUAAGCAUGUCUUUGAUCCUGUCUUCCUUCUCUCACCCCAACCAGCAGCAGAUGGCCUGUUAAAAGGGAGUUUUUCUUUUCCACUGUUGCCAGAUUGCUCACUCAUAGCGGGGUCAUAUCAUUGUUGGGUUUUUCUCUGUAUGUAUUAUUGUAGGUUCUACCUUACAAUGUAAAGCGCUUUGAUGCAACUGCUGUUGUGAUUUAGUGCUGUAUAAAUACAAGUGAAUUGAAUUGUAUGUUUUCAGGCUAAAAAGAAUAAACUGACAGAGUAAACAAGAGAGUGUAUGCUUAUUAUUAUUAUUAUUUCUUAUUAUUAUUAUCUCAUUAUUAUUACUGAUGAUGAUGAUAAUAAUGAUAAUAAUAAUAAUAAUAAUAAUAAUAAUAAUAAUAAUUUUUAAAUAUAAUUAUUAUAAUAAUAUUAAGAAGGAAAAGAAGAAGAAGAAAUAAUGCUGCACUGCCAAAGAGGAUUUUACAUUAGA